rnacentral:rRNA from 1 species
GAUGAACGCUGGCGGCGUGCCUAAUACAUGCAAGUCGAGCGAACAGACGAGGGGCUUGCUCCUCUGACGUUAGCGGCGGACGGGUGAGUAACACGUGGAUAACCUACCUAUAAGACUGGGAUAACUUCGGGAAACCGGAGCUAAUACCGGAUAAUAUAUUGAACCGCAUGGUUCAAUAGUGAAAGACGGUUUUGCUGUCACUUAUAGAUGGAUCCGCGCCGCAUUAGCUAGUUGGUAAGGUAACAGCUUACCAAGGCAACGAUGCGUAGCCGACCUGAGAGGGUGAUCGGCCACACUGGAACUGAGACACGGUCCAGACUCCUACGCGAGGCAGCAGUAGGGAAUCUUCCGCAAUGGGCGAAAGCCUGACGGAGCAACGCCGCGUGAGUGAUGAAGGUCUUCGGAUCGUAAAACUCUGUUAUUAGGGAAGAACAAAUGUGUAAGUAACUAUGCACGUCUUGACGGUACCUAAUCAGAAAGCCACGGCUAACUACGUG